rnacentral:rRNA from 1 species
CCAGACUCCUACGGGAGGCAGCAGUGGGGGAUAUUGGACAAUGGGGGGAACCCUGAUCCAGCGACGCCGCGUGAGUGAAGAAGUAUCUCGGUAUGUAAAGCUCUAUCAGCAGGGAAGAAAGAAAUGACGGUACCUGAGUAAGAAGCCCCGGCUAACUCCGUGCCAGCAGCCGCGGUAAUACGGAGGAUGCGAGCGUUAUCCGGAUUUAUUGGGUUUAAAGGGUGCGUAGGCGGGCAUUUAAGCCGGCGGUCAAAUGUCGGGGCUCAACCCCGGCCUGCCGUCGGAACUGGGUGCCUUGAGUGGGCGAGAAGUAUGCGGAAUGCGUGGUGUAGCGGUGAAAUGCAUAGAUAUCGCGCAGAACUCCGAUUGCGAAGGCAGCAUGCCGGCUCCACACUGACGCUGAGGCACGAAAGCGUGGGUAUCGAACAGGAUUAGAUCCCCCGGUA